UUUUACAUUCCUGAGUUACUUCACUUAGAAUAAAUAAUAGUCUCCACUGUCAUCCAGGUCACUGCAAAUGCUGUUAAUUCAUUCUUUUAUGGCUGAAUAGUUUUCCAUUGUAUAUAUGGAAUACUUUGCCAUGUUGCAAGGCUGGUCAUGAACUCCUAGCCUCAAGUGAUCUGCCUACCUUGACCUUCCAAAGUGAUAGGAUUACAGGUGUGAGCCUGGUGUGUGGGUGUGUGUGUAUAUACACACAUACGUGUGUGUGUGUGUGUGUGUGUGUGUGUGUGUGUGUAUAUACCUCACAGUUUCUUUAUCCACUCCAAACUUGUUGAUUGAUGGGCAUUUGGAUUUUUUCCAUGAUUUUACAAUUGUGAAUUGUGCCACUGUAAACAUGAGUAUGCAAGUAACUUUUUUGAAUAAUGACUUAUUUUCCUCUGGGUAGGUACCCAGUUGUGGGAUUGAUGGAUCAAAUGGUAGUUCCUUUAGUUAAGGAAUCUUCACCCUAUUUUCCGUAGUGGAUGUACUAGUUUACAUUCCCACCAGCAGUGUAAAGGUGUUCCCUGUUUACUGCAUCCAUGCCAACAUCUACCGUUUUUUGAUUUUUGAUUAUGGCUAUGCUUGUGGGAGUAUGGUGGUAUUGCAUUAUGGUUUUGAUUUCCAUUUCCCCGAUCAUUAGUUAUGUUGAGCAUUUUUUCUUUUUUUUUAUACUUUAAGUUCUGGAGUACAUGUGCAGAAUGUGCAGGUUUGUUACAUAGGUAUACAAGUGCAAUGAUGGUUUGCUGCACCCAUCAACCGGUCAUCCACAUUAGGUAUUUGUUCUUGCAGUCGAUCUGGAACUAAAAUUUACAGUGCAAGCUUCCCCACAUGACACUGUCUGGAGCUGCAGUCUAUCCUGCCUCCCUUCCACCCUGAUGAUCCAAUAUCAAUUUUUCAUUUUAUAUAGGUACAAUUUGUGCCAUCCCAAAAUAAUUACCAUAGUAACAUUAAAAAUCAAUGAUCACAUAUCACCAUAACAGAUAUAAUAAACAGUUUGAAGUACUGUGAGAAUUACAAGUGUGACAUUGAGACACGCAGUGGACCCAUGUUGUUGGCAAAAUGAUGCAAAUAGGCUUACUUGAUGAAGAUUUGCCACAAAAUUUCUGCAAAAAAUGCAAUAUCUGAAAAGCAAUGAAAUGCAAAGUACAAUAAAAUGAGAAGUGCCUGUAUUUGUGUAUCUAAACAUUGAAAAGAUACUAUAAAGAUGUGCUAUGACUGAGCCCUAACCAGGUGUGCAGUUUUUUCUUCCUUCCUGGGCACCUCGCCACCCACCUGAGCCCACAGUGCAGCCUGUUUGGCUCUCAUGUUUAGAGCUCAAGCCUGGGACAAUGGUGUGCAUUCCUCAUAUCAUCAUUCCACUUCUGGUCUGGAUCUAUAAAAAAAUCCCUGGAUCCAUCCAUAUACCCUCUGAUUUACCAUUUUUUAAUUCAUAUGUGGCCUAGAAAAACUAACACAAAGACCCAGUGUUAGAAAUAAAGGCAAAGUAGACUGCAAGGGUACAAACAUGAAUGGAUUACCAACAAAAGUAUCAACAGAAAUCUCUGAUAAGAAGACUAAAGAACUUCCCCAAAGGAUCUCAUUGUUUUAAAAAUGGAGCUGAUAAUAGGAGCACUUUCUUUGUAGUUGUCUCUGACUUUUCUCUGUGAGACCAGAAUUCAGUUUAGAUAUUUAUCUGAUACUAAUCAGGAUAUACAUGGUGCCUAUAUUUAAAAUGUACUUAGCUGUAUUUAAUCAUUUCGUUUGAGUUCCUUUUUCAUUAACAUAGCUUUCAUUUCUAUUAUUUUUGUUUUAAUAUGAUUAAAUAAAAAGUUUAUGCUAGUAGACAGCUUUUACUAAAUCAGUGCUUAAAAACCUUUCGCUCUCUGUAAUUCAUUCCUAUGAAUUUGACUGCUGUGUACUCUAAUCUCUUUAAGAUCUUCUCAUUUGAGUGGAGUAUAAUUUUACUCUGAACAGUGCAGUGAGACUGUGCAGCAAAAUGAAAAAGUUUUGGAAAUGAUGUGAAAAAUAAAGAUAUAAUUACUGUUCAAUACAGCGGGGCAGCUUGCUUGCGAGAGUAGUAAUUACUAUUUAUUGCUGCAAGGAAGAUAAAAAAGUUCUGUGACAUUACAUUCUGCUGGCCUAGAGGUCUUAGUUCCAGAGGGAGGAACACUGCCACCAGGAGACACAACAACAAUUCCACUCAACCAGACUUCUGGUUAUCUAACCCAAAUGCCAAUUUUUGUAUGGGAACCCUGCCACUCCUCUGAAAGACUACAUUUCCCAGGCAAUUCUGCAGCCAGUUUGAUCCUGUGACUUCAUUCUGAUAAAUGAAAUUUAAGCAAAGUGUUGUGUGGAACUUUAGGAAAGCCUCCUCACAUGGGAAAAGCCUUAACUCCCUAUUUAUAAAUGUGAAGGCUGGGAACUUUAGGGAAAAUAUCAGCAACAAGAAAAAUUUCUCUGAUCUUCCUAUGCCAAAGAGUUGGUGAUGAGGAAAAGCUAUGUCUGAGGAUUAUGGAGUAUGCAUCAUUUGUGUUUGGCUUUCUCUGCUCCCUUUAAUAUUCUGUUGAAAGGCUCUCACAGGAAAGAAGAUUCAAGGAGGAACUGAAAUAGAGCCUCCUUUGCCAACAAGUAUCAAACAUAUCCCAGUCACUUGUAACACCUGCCCUGCUGUUGGAAUGACAUAAUGAGAGACCUAGGCAAUCCAGAGGGAAGUGUAAAUGACAGCAGUUACUAAUAAGAGCACUGUUGAAUUUUGAUAAACUUUUGCAUGCUUUUAUUUCUCCACAUUUUAAGUAAUUAUACUAAUUAUGAGAGUACUGUGUGUAUUCCUUAUUAGUUGUUUGGUCAAAAAUAAAAAUAAAGCAAGUUCUUAAUGACCUACAAAGAGACUUAGACUCCCACACCAUAAUAGUGGUAGACUUUAACACU